CAGAUUUGGACUCUGAUUCCAUCUCAACCUGUCACCAGUCACCUGUUUGAGCCAACAGCCUUUGUCAAAACUGCCCUUAUGGGUGGAUAUGGGCUGCCUGCAAGGGAAAAAUUGACAUUCUACGUGUGAACGGUUGUACCAAACACUAAUGCAACACAAAAGGGUCCGUGUGAUUCUCUCCACCAACUGUAAGCAAGCCUGUGGGCCUGUGCCUCUAAACCCAGGCCCGUCUGAAUAUUCAUCGGCUUCAUUUGCAUAACUCACAGAUGGCGAAAACAGAUGCUCGUUACGGCAAGUGUCAAUUUUCAAAAAUUUGCUUUCAGACAAAACAAAUAAAGCUAUACAGGAGAAUGG